UCAAAACAUGGCUUCCUGAAUUAUUAUGAUAGGGGGUCUGGCCUGCCCGGUGGGAGUGUUCCUAAACGGUCGCAGCUACCACUGUGCGAAGGUAGCGUAAUAGGUCGUCCUUUAAUUGAGGGAGAGUAUGAAUGGUCGGAUGUUGGAAAGACUUUAUUGGUAGCAUGUGUUGAAUUUUACUUUUUAGUGCAAAGGCUAAAAUAGUUUUAUUAGACGAGAAGACCCUGUCGAGCUUAGUAAAUUUUAUCUCAUGUUUGGGUCAAAAUUAUGUUUUUUCGGGGCUGAAAGGGAGGGAGAUUAAUGCCUUCUAUUUUAGUAUGUUGAUCCAGUACGAUUGAAAAGUGGAAGAUAGCUACCGCAGGGAUAACAGCGCAAUCUUUCUGAUAAGGCCAUAUUUAAGGAAUGGUUUGCGACCUCGAUGUUGAAUCAGAAUUUCUAUUAGGUGUAGCAGCUUAGUAAGUAGGACUGUUCGUCCUUUAAAAUUCUACGUGAUCUGAGUUCAGACCGGA
rnacentral:rRNA from 1 species